CCUUCGGGAGGGAGCGGCGGACGGGUUAGUAACGCGUGGGAACAUACCCUUCUCUAAGGAAUAGCCACUGGAAACGGUGAGUAAUACCUUAUACGCCCUUCGGGGGAAAGAUUUAUCGGAGAGGGAUUGGCCCGCGUUAGAUUAGAUAGUUGGUGGGGUAACGGCCUACCAAGUCUACGAUCUAUAGCUGGUUUUAGAGGAUGAUCAGCAACACUGGGACUGAGACACGGCCCAGACUCCUACGGGAGGCAGCAGUGGGGAAUCUUGGACAAUGGGCGCAAGCCUGAUCCAGCCAUGCCGCGUGAGUGAUGAAGGCCUUAGGGUCGUAAAGCUCUUUCACCAGGGAUGAUAAUGACAGUACCUGGAAAAGAAACCCCGGCUAACUCCGUGCCAGCAGCCGCGGUAAUACGGAGGGGGUUAGCGUUGUUCGGAAUUACUGGGCGUAAAGCGUACGUAGGCGGAUUAGUAAGUUAGGGGUGAAAUCCCGAGGCUCAACCUCGGAACUGCCUCUAAAACUGCUAGUCUUGAGUUCGAGAGAGGUGAGUGGAAUUCCGAGUGUAGAGGUGAAAUUCGUAGAUAUUCGGAGGAACACCAGUGGCGAAGGCGGCUCACUGGCUCGAUACUGACGCUGAGGUACGAAAGUGUGGGGGAGCAAACAGGAUUAGAUAC
rnacentral:rRNA from 1 species